UGUCCACGUGGCUCAGGGGAUAAGACCACUGACUGGGACUCCAGAGGUCGUGGGUUCAAGCCUUAUCCGGGACAC